UGGGAAAGAGAUUGUUGAUCUGUGCUUGGACCGUAUCAGAAAGCUCGCUGAUAACUGUACUGGUCUCCAAGGAUUCCUCGUCUUCAACGCUGUUGGUGGAGGGACUGGAUCUGGUCUUGGAUCUCUCCUCCUUGAGAGACUUUCUGUUGACUACGGGAAAAAGUCCAAGUUGGGUUUCACAGUUUACCCAUCUCCACAGGUCUCCACCUCUGUUGUUGAGCCUUACAACAGUGUCCUCUCCACUCACUCACUCUUGGAACACACUGAUGUCUCUAUCCUCCUCGACAAUGAAGCUAUCUAUGACAUCUGCAGACGUUCCCUAAGCAUUGAG
rnacentral:lncRNA from 1 species